rnacentral:lncRNA from 1 species
AAGACACUCAUCUUCUUUUCCUAUUUCAUAGAUUGACACACAUCAAAACUAACUUCUUUCUCAUUGAGCCUAAAUUUUAGCUCAUUUUGUUCUAUGUCAACUAACACUCUCCAAGUUUCUAAGAACGGCCUACCCAAAAUUAUGGGUACUUCAAAGUCCACUUCACAACAAAGAAUUACAAAGUUGGCAGGAAAUAUAAAAUCGACCAUCUUUAUAAGUACAUCU